CUUUGCCACAAACACAAUGCAUAAAGGCUACAGGCAGACCCCCAUACAAACAACACAUUUCAAGCAGCUACCCCAUACACAUCCGGUCCCAGAAAAAAAUGCAAACAGAAGGAUACUCUCACACUCAGAAGGAUACUCUCUGUCAGACACACUCUCAGGCACAUACACAGUUAAACUUUGCAUCAAUGUGUAUAUGUGACAGUGAGCAUGUAUUUCACUUUUUUGUUAGCGGGGCCUCAUGUUUGAGUUUCAAUAAAGUCUAGAGCCACCUCUGAUUCUGUCUCCC